rnacentral:rRNA from 1 species
CUACGGGCCGCAGCAGUGAGGAAUAUUGCACAAUGGGGGAAACCCUGAUGCAGCAACGCCGCGUGGAGGAUGACGCAUUUCGGUGUGUAAACUCCUUUUAUCAGAGAAGAAAAUGACGGUAUCUGAUGAAUAAGCUCCGGCUAACUCCGUGCCAGCAGCCGCGGUAAUACGGAGGGAGCAAGCGUUAUUCGGAAUCACUGGGCGUAAAGGACGCGUAGGCGGGUUAUUAAGUCAGGUGUGAAAUCCAAUGGCUCAACCAUUGAACUGCACUUGAAACUGGUAACCUAGAGUAUGGAAGGGGCAGAUGGAAUUAGUGGUGUAGGGGUAACAUCCGUAGAUAUCACUAGGAAUACCGAAAGCGAAGGCGAUCUGCUGGGACAUUACUGACGCUGAGGCGUGAAAGCGUGGGGAGCAAACAGGAUUAGAUACCCUGGUAGUC